CAGCAGCCGCGGGAAUACGGAGGGUGCAAGCGUUAAUCGGAAUUACUGGGCGUAAAGCGCACGCAGGCGGUCUGACAAGUCAGAUGUGAAAUCCCCGGGCUUAACCUGGGAACUGCAUUUGAAACUGUCAAGCUGGAGUCUUGUAGAGGGGGGUGGAAUUCCAGGUGUAGCGGUGAAAUGCGUAGAGAUCUGGAGGAAUACCGGUGGCGAAGGCGGCCCCCUGGACAAAGACUGACGCUCAGGUGCGAAAGCGUGGGGAGCAAACAGGAUUAGAUACCCCUGUAGUCCCUGUCUCUUAUAC
rnacentral:rRNA from 1 species